rnacentral:rRNA from 1 species
GAUGAACGCUGGCGGCGUGCCUAAUACAUGCAAGUCGAGCGAACGGACGAGAAGCUUGCUUUUCUGACGUUAGCGGCGGACGGGUGAGUAACACGUGGAUAACCUACCUAUAAGACUGGGAUAACUUCGGGAAACCGGAGCUAAUACCGGAUAAUAUUUUGAACCGCAUGGUUCAAAAGUGAAAGACGGUCUUGCUGUCACUUAUAGAUGGAUCCGCGCUGCAUUAGCUAGUUGGUAAGGUAACGGCUUACCAAGGCAACGAUGCGUAGCCGACCUGAGAGGGUGAUCGGCCACACUGGAACUGAGACACGGUCCAGACUCCUACGGGAGGCAGCAGUAGGGAAUCUUCCGCAAUGGGCGAAAGCCUGACGGAGCAACGCCGCGUGAGUGAUGAAGGUCUUCGGAUCGUAAAACUCUGUUAUUAGGGAAGAACAUAUGUGUAAGUAACUAUGCACAUCUUGACGGUACCUAAUCAGAAAGCCACGGCUAACUACGUG